rnacentral:piRNA from 1 species
UAGAGACAAACAGGUUGCUCAGCUGC